rnacentral:misc_RNA from 1 species
GAACGCACAUUGCGCUCUUUGGUAUUCCGGAGAGCAUGCCUGUUUGAGAAUCAGUAAUCUCAUCAACUGCUUAAUUGCGGUCGGAUAUGGGUCUUUUGAGGCUUCACAGUCCCAAUGACCUGAAAUCAAAUGUUACGCUUCCUUGAACCACCAGUUCUCGGGCAUACGCAUGAAUGGGGCAACUCACACGUACGUUUGUUCUCACGAACUGUCGGUUGUACCGGAGUCUGUAACUCAACCAUUACCCAGAGAAGGUUGACACCAGUCGACUUUCCCUGAACACUUGGUCUCAAAUCAGGUAGGAAAACCCGCUGAACUUAAG